GGACAAAGCACAUUUGCAGAGCAGCCGAAUACAAAUUUCCAGACCCAAUUCCCGCAUUUGCUGAUACCGAGACUGAGAAAUUUUGGACCCAUCUCCAUAAGAAGCUCUCGAAGAAAUACAUAUAUGGAGAUUCGGUUGAAGAGGUGGUUGGAAUCUGCACUGAGAGAUACUCAAUACCUUCUUGCACACAGACUGUGGCGGUCCUGGAACACUCUUGUUGAUGCCUUUCAUUGACAUGGCUGAUACCAUAAUGAGCAAGGUUUGCCUGGAGGACUACAAGCUGCACGUGCAGCAGUAAAAUGGGCCCAAGAUCACGUUGACAAAGACUGGAAAGAGUGGACUGGUGGUGAUAGUAAUUGACAGAAUAACUCCCUAAUCAUCAAUGUAGUGCGAGAUUCUGUUUAGUUGUUGUCAUGUCAAUUGAAAAAGAUCAUCGAACGGUUUUAAUUCUAUUUGUGUGUCUCUGAAGGAAGUGAUGAUGAAAGAAAACUGAAAUUUGAGCAUGUUUUGUGGAGUGGAGGGAAUGUGUAUCUGUACUCGUCUCAUGAACCUUAUCAUGAGAUUGUAUAUUGUCCUCUCAUUCGAUGGAAUUUAGAAGAAGCAAGGUUAGAAGGUUAAGCAG
rnacentral:misc_RNA from 1 species